rnacentral:rRNA from 1 species
UACGUAGGGGGCUAGCGUUGUCCGGAAUCAUUGGGCGUAAAGCGUGCGCAGGCGGUUUUGUAAGCCAGAUGUGAAAUCCCCGGGCUUAACCUGGGAAUGGCAUUUGGGACUGCAAGGCUCGAGUGCAGCAGAGGAGACUGGAAUUCCUGGUGUAGCAGUGAAAUGCGUAGAUAUCAGGAGGAACACCGAUGGCGAAGGCAGGUCUCUGGGCUGACACUGACGCUCAUGCACGAAAGCGUGGGGAGCAAACAGG